rnacentral:rRNA from 1 species
UACGGGGGGGGCAAGCGUUGUUCGGAAUUACUGGGCGUAAAGGGCUCGUAGGCGGCCAACUAAGUCAGACGUGAAAUCCCUCGGCUUAACCGGGGAACUGCGUCUGAUACUGGCAGACUAGAGUGCGUCAGAGGGGGGUGGAAUUCCACGUGUAGCAGUGAAAUGCGUAGAGAUGUGGAGGAACACCGAUGGCGAAGGCAGCCCCCUGGGAUGACACUGACGCUCAUACACGAAAGCGUGGGGAGCAAACAGG